rnacentral:ncRNA from 2 species
AGCAGCCGCGGUAAUUCCAGCUCCAAUAGCGUAUAUUAAAGUUGUUGCAGUUAAAAAGCUCGUAGUUGAAUUUCGGGAUCAAGGAAUCGGUCAUGCCUCGGUAUGUACUGGUUUUAUUGGUUCUCACCUUCUAAAGAACCAUGAUGUCAUUCAUUUGAUGUUAUGGGGAAUUAGGACUGUUACCUUGAAAAAAUUAGAGUGUUUAAAGCAGGCUUACGCUUGAAUACAUUAGCAUGGAAUAAUGAAAUAGGACAUCAGAUUCUAUUUUGUUGGUUUCUAGGAUCGAUGUAAUGAUUAAUAGGGAUAGUUGGGGGCAUUAGUAUUCAAUUGUCAGAGGUGAAAUUCUUGGAUUUAUUGAAGACUAACUACUGCGAAAGCAUUUGCCAAGGAUGUUUUCAUUAAUCAAGAACGAAAGUUAGGGGAUCGAAGACGAUCAGAUACCGUCGUAGUCUUAACCAUAAACUAUGCCGACUAGGGAUCGGAUGAUGUUUAUUUUUUAGUGACUCAUUCGGCACCUUAC